rnacentral:rRNA from 1 species
UACGUAGGGUGCGAGCGUUGUCCGGAAUUAUUGGGCGUAAAGGGCUCGUAGGCGGUUUGUCGCGUCGGGAGUGAAAACUCGGGGCUUAACUCCGAGCCUGCUUCCGAUACGGGCAGACUAGAGGUAUGCAGGGGAGAACGGAAUUCCUGGUGUAGCGGUGAAAUGCGCAGAUAUCAGGAGGAACACCGGUGGCGAAGGCGGUUCUCUGGGCAUUACCUGACGCUGAGGAG